GACGAACGCUGGCGGCGUGCCUAAUACAUGCAAGUAGAACGCGGAAGGAGGAGCUUGUUUCUCUGGAUGAGUUGCGAACGGGUGAGUAACGCGUAGGUAACCUGCCUGGCAGUGGGGGAUAACUUUUGGAAACGAUAGCUAAUACCGCAUAAGAGUAGAUGUCGCAUGACAUUCGCGUAAUAGUUGCAAUUGCAUCACUAGCAGAAGGACCUGCGGUGUAUUAGCUAGUUGGUGAGGUAACGGCUCACCAAGGCAACGAUACAUAGCCGACCUGAGAGGGGGAUCGGCCACACUGGGACUGGAGCACGGCCCAGACUCCUACGGGAGGCAGCCGUAGGGAAACAUCGGAAAUGGACGGAAGUCUGACCGAGCAACGCCGCGUGAGUGGAGGAGGUUUUCGGAUCGUAAAGCUCUGUUGUAAGAGAAGAACGAGUAUGAGAGUGGAAAGUUCACACUGUGACGGUAUCUUACCAGAAAGGGACGGCUAACUACGUG
rnacentral:rRNA from 1 species